rnacentral:rRNA from 1 species
GAUGAACGCUGGCGGCGUGCCUAAUACAUGCAAGUCGAGCGAACAGACGAGGAGCUUGCUCCUCUGACGUUAGCGGCGGACGGGUGAGUAACACGUGGAUAACCUACCUAUAAGACUGGGAUAACUUCGGGAAACCGGAGCUAAUACCGGAUAACAUGUUGAACCGCAUGGUUCAACAGUGAAAGACGGUCUUGCUGUCACUUAUAGAUGGAUCCGCGCCGCAUUAGCUAGUUGGUAAGGUAACGGCUUACCAAGGCAACGAUGCGUAGCCGACCUGAGAGGAGGAUCGGCACCAGGUGAGAGAGGACCAGGCCCAAACCCCGGAGGGAGGCAGGAGUAGGAAUUCUACCGGAAGGGGCGAAAGCCGAAGGGGGCAACGGGGCGGAAGUAAAAAAGGUCUUCGACGCGUAAAACUUUUUUUUUAGGGAAGAACAAAGUUUUAAGUAACGUGCCGCGUUUGACCGUAACCUAAGAAAAAGCCCCGGGUAAAUUCGGG